GUCAUCAACUACCAUAUGAACAAAUUGAAUAUCAGCCUGUCUAAGCUAUUGAAUAUGCUGAAAAUAGUAAAGAGCCAUUUCAAAGGUGAAAAGACUCCAAUUCUUCUUAUUGAUAAGAUCAAUAAGAAGAAAGAUAAGAAGAGUUCUAAGAAAAAGUUGAACUCUGUGGCUAGCAUCUCCAAGAAGAAGGCGAAGAAGGUCUCCACCAAAGGUACUUGUUAUCACUAUGGCAAGG
rnacentral:lncRNA from 1 species